CUCAUAUUUCCCUUAACGCCUCACUGGUUAGGAUGAGAUUGCAUUGUCAUGCCUUGGUGUCAAGGAAAUGAGAAAACAAGUAUCUGGGUUCUUGAAGGAUUAAAUGAAUUAAUGCAUGUUAUACCCUUCACAGUGACUGAAUACAUGAAUAUGUGGAAUCCAGAACAGGCCUGGUGGGUAGAAGAAGGCAGUCCUUUCUUCACAAGAAGCUUAAGGUCUCCUUUCUUCUCCUAAAACUGGAACGCUAAGAAAAAAAUGUCAAUUCACUCCCAUACAAAAAUUUAUGAACGCCUGGUUCUGUGUUAUACUC